UCAAAAUGACUUUAUUAGCAGAGCAGAGAAAAGAACUCCUGUGGUGAAACCACCUGCCCAGGAAAAUAAUCUCAAGUCUGUCACAGAUUCAUUGUGCAGCUUCAGACGUAUCAGGAACUCUCCUUUUGCUAGUUUUCCUAUCUAUGGAAUAAGAGAAAAUGAGAUUAAAUGGCAGAAGAGAUCAUGACAUCUGUCAUUCUCCACACAAGGGUGCAAGCCCAGACCAAGUUCUUAAACACCUCCAACUCAGCAGAAGGUCAAAAAGAUGCACAGGUUCUGCUGGACUCUUCGGGCCACAGCAGUCCCGAGUACCAGAGCCAAGAUUCCCCAGGCCUCGAAGCUGUGCUGUUGUGUACCUGCCCCCAAGCCCAGCACGGGGCUCUGCAGACACUCAGGGUCAUGCAGCUGAGCAGUGGGCCAUGCUGGGACAACGGGCAGUGUUACCAGCUCUGUCCAUCCCUGCUCAGGCAGGAGCUGUGCCUGUCUCCUUGGCAUUCUGGGAGAGAACAGUCUGGAGAGCUGUGUGAAGACAGCAUCCCUGUCACGCUGCCCUUUUCCCCAGGAUAUGAUGGGAGAGGUGCCCUGUCUGUUCACGGAGCCCAUGCUGGGCGUGCUCUGCUCAGCACGCCUGGAGGUCCAGGACAAAGGUAAGGUCUGUGUACCCACCCGGGGCGGUGUGGGGCAGCUGGGCCGGUGUGCCGGGGGAGGAGGGCAGGCACAGGCGAUCUCCCGGGGCCGCUCCUGCCUGGCGGGAGCGAUCCGCGGCUGGGCGGGGCUGCAGCCUCAUUAGUAUUCAGCAUAAUCUGCAUACCCAGGGUGCACCGCGCGGGGGUGCCGCGCACACGGCAAAGUUCGGGCCGCCGCUCCCCGGUACCGCCGGUUCGGUGCCAGGCUGGGCUCUGAGCGCUGCCGGCAGCACGGGGCGAGGCAGCAGAGGCUCGAACCUGGGGGCAAGCGGCGUCGCUGUAUGUUCGGAGGGACUGCCGUGAAUGGGUACCUGCCGAGGGCCGAGUUACGGCAUACUCUGGUUUCUCUUCAGAUCGUAUAAAUCUUUCGCCUUUUACUAAAGAUUUCCGUGGAGAGGAACAGGCACGAGUGUCGAGAAAUUUUUUGAGGCUCCAUUUCGGUGGA